UACGUAGGGUGCGAGCGUUAAUCGGAAUUACUGGGCGUAAAGCGUGCGCAGGCGGCGCGUUAAGACAGGUGUGAAAAGCCCCCGAGCUUAACUUGGGAAUUUGCGCUUGUGACUGGCGUGCUGGAGUGUGGCAGAGGGGAGGUGGAAUUCCACGUGUAGCAGUGAAAAUGCGUAGAGAUCCGGAAGAACACCAGUGGCGGAAGGCGGACCCGCUGGGCAGCUGGCUGACGCUGAGGCGCGACAGCGUGGGAGCGGAACAGGAUAGAUGACCCG
rnacentral:rRNA from 1 species